UCAUGUGCACAGGGCAGUCGCGAAGCUUGAUGAUUGCUUAGCGUGAUGGCUUAAAAUUACCGAAUAUUUCGCAGAGUGAGAGAAUAAAUAUCAAAGCCUGCAAUGGCAAAAUUUUUAUAUAGAGAGUUCUGCAAUCAUGUUUAUUUAGGGCAAUGGGAGUUGGCUCGAGCUUGUGCUAUAGCUUUAAUAAAGAAUGAUACUCAUGGAAAUAAUGAAAAGGAACUAUUGCUUUCAACGCUGAAAAAUCUUGCGAAGGAUCCUUUUUUAGCUAGAUCUGCAUGGGGGACUUUACCAUCUCCAAGCUACAUAAACUUUUUGUCAUGUCAGUUAUUGUUGGAUUUAGGAUAUACAGAUGAAAUUAAGAUUUGGAGAAGAAGUGCUGAUUUUAACAUUUUGUUGGAAACAUAUUUCCGGAAACCAAGAGAUGCACUCAGGGAUCUAGCUUAUAUUUAUUCUCAAGUCUCCUGUCAUGGAUCUAAAGAGUAUGAUGUUACAAAGAAUAAAAACUUGGAACUUUCUCCUGAAAGCAUCUCAUUGUUAAAAAAAGCAAUUACACAUGAGCCAUUGAUAACGUGUGUGCUUAUUUGUGCAAUAUGUAUCCCAGUGUAUUAUGAAUCUGCAUCUAGUUUUAACAUUGUAUUAUGUAACAUUAUUCUCCAGUAUGUCUUAAACUGCCUUAAUUCAUUGAAAUCUGCUUUUAAUAAGCAUGAUGAUGUUCAUCAUGUGGAAGAAUUAUCAUCAAAAGUAUAUUUAUUACUCAGUGUUUUACCUGAAUGUACAUUAGAAAAAGUCAUGAAGAAAUCUAUUGAUGAAAUUUUUUUACUUGCACAUUACUUGUGCAAAUCUGGAGCUCUAGAACAUGAAAAAGUGUAUAGAUCUUUACUUGGUCGACCUUCACCUCACGGUCUACAGUACUACUGCAAACUUGAAGAUGAUAUCGGAUGUGAUAUUUCUAACAUUAGAGAAAAUAUUUGCUUAUGUUAUAUAUCUGAUGAAGGUAACUUUAGUCAUCGACAGGCUUUACUGAGCAGUGUCAAUUCAUCAUCACAUUUUCUUCUAGAUUUAAUUGAUUAUUGCAUUCAAAAUAUUAUAAGUGGUAAUUAUGAACUUGUAUGGGAUUCACUAAAAGAUGAUUUAUUAUCACGUUUAAAGCCUUUAAUCUUGAUUUUAUCAUGGGGAAGGAGCUGUGAUGAUGUUUCUGCAACAAAUGUCAUUCAGGUUAUGAAAUCGUGGAACGAAGUUAAUGAAUCUCCUUUGAAUGAAGUUUGCAAAGAAUUCAAAAGAAAUGCUUACUUGACAGAUUUAUUUAUUGCUUAUUAUCAGGAAUUGCAUCCUUCAAGUAGCAGCAGCAAAAUUCAAAACAAAGCUCGAAAUGUUUUCAUGCAGCUCCAAACUCAAUCCAUCUUAAGUAUUCUUCAUACUGAGUUUGGCUUGAAAAAUAUUUCAUUUGAAAAAAUAUUAGAAUUCUUGAAUCCUGAACAAGGAAAUUCAUCUGUUUGCAAUGAAUCUGUCUCAUCACAUCUUACUGAUAGAGCUAUUUACUCAGGAUAUUUAAUUAUGAUUUGGAUAAUGGAAGCUGUACUUUUAUGUUGUGAAUAUAAAAGUGUAAUUGUUACUAAAAAACUUGUUAUUUCUGAUGUUUUAUAUAAAUCCUGUGACUCUUUUAAUGCAUCUGAAAAUCAAACAGUUUUUCUGUGCAACUGUGAUUCUGUAGCUGAAUGUAUAAAUAAUCAUGGAGCUCAAUAUGCCUAUUCUAGAUUUAUUGUUGAACGUCUUGAAAAAGCAAAAAAUGAAGUUAAGAAACUUUUUCCUAUUGCUUUCAGGGUAGAAGUUCUGGAGAAUAUAUUUUCUAUGCUUUUUUUAAUGUCACAUAACUUAGUUGAUGCACUGGAACAGUGUUCAGAUUCAGAUCAAGGUUGUGAAGGUGAAAAUUUUGUUCUUCCUGGUAGUGGUACAGAACCCUUUCUUGUGAUGAAACAGUCAACAGAAACAGAGAAAAAAUAUUCAGACAAAUUUACAGUGCAUUCUGUAAAAGAUCCUAUCACAUCAAGAGCAAGAAGGGAUACACUUGAAAACUACUCAGGUCAUAGUUCCAAGAGCACUGAAAGUAAUAGUUCUAAUGGACUUCAGUCUUGCACAUUUCUUUGCAACGAACUCAUAACACGUGAUCUUCUGUUCUUAUUGAAGGAUUCUGUCAUAGAAGCCAAAGCAGAAGUGUAUAAAGCUAUUAGCAAUUCUGAUAUUAAUGUAAAAGGCAAGAUUGUUACUGAAAGUGGCCAGGCAAUGACACAAGUGAAGGAUGCAACAGCAACGAAGUUAUCAAUAUGUACCGAUGAUUUGCAUCAGCGCACAUCACAGCUUUUACAAUAUAUCAGUGAAGCCAUAUGGCGUUAUGAAAUAGUGAAAUCUGAUAUUUUCCAAGAGCCAUUUAGUUUUUCUACAUUACAGAAGAAGACACCUUAUCUCUUUCAAUCCCAACAAAGUGUUUCCUCCUCAGAUGGAACUGACAAAGAAAACAAAAAGCGCCGAAAGAAAAAGAAGAAGCAUAAGCAUAAUUUCUCUAGUCACAAAAAAGAUUCUUUUGCUGAAUCAAGCAUCAUCCAGUGCAUGCUGUCAUCUCCUGAAGCUCUUUUACGAUAUUCCUUGUGGAACAAAAAUUUGGUUCAAGCAGGGCAAGUCAUCAAACUGUUUCAUCUACAAGCAUCAAAUGAAGCAAGAGAACUUACACUUGUGCAUGAGUUGCAGAGGAUAUCAAAAAAGUUGUCUGAAAGUGAAAAAAUAAAAACAAAAUCCAUUAAAAAAGAAACUGCAUCUCCAAAUGGGGAAAAAUCACUUAUGUCGAAUAUUUUAGCCAUUGAAGAUGCAGCUGCAUCUGGAUUACAAUCAUCAGAAAUAUGCUUAAUUAUCAAUCAAGAACUUAGCAGUUUAAAAGUUCCUGAGAUUAUAGAUGUUACUGGAGGUAUUAGACAUCCCGAACUUGUAUUAGGUUCUGAAAAUAUUUAUUCUGUUUUUUUAGCUGACUUAAGUUGUACUUUUGGAGCUUCAAUAGAACUAUCUUCUAUUCUUUUAGAUAUGGCUAGUAGAAGCUGGAAUAAUUCAAGAAAAAAUAUUAAUGAAUUAGAUGUUAAAGUUUUAUCUAAAAAGAAAAUGUCAUUGAUUAGAGGGAAUUUCAAAACACUUCAGAUGUUGACUUCAUUAGUAAAAGAAUUCAAAAGUGUAAUUGAGGAACCUGAUUUUAAUGCUGAUUUGUUUUCUAUGUUUUGGCCUACAAAUCUAAAUUUAAAAUCAUUUUCACAGGCCUUAUUUAUUUUUGUUGGCAAUUUAGACUGUCAGAGAUUCCGAGAAGAAAUUAACAACUGGAAACGAGCAUCCAUUUUGCUUGAAGAAUUUUCAGCAAUGAUUGUAGAGGAAGAGUUGAGAGAGGAAAGUGGAACUUUACAAAAAGAUAUUACUCGGGAAAACAAACUGCAUAUGACAUACAAAAAAUUAUCCAAAGUUCUUAGGGAGCUACGAGAUUGGUCUUCAGAAACUAUUCGACCACAGCCAUUACGAUAUGAUAACUAUCUAAGUAAUCUUUUAAUUCAUCUGCAUCAAGUUACAACUGCUGUUUUGGAUUGCAAGAAACAGAGUCUGGAUGCUGGGCCUCUAGUUUACACAUCAGAUUUUUCCAUUUUAAAAGAAAGCCCUGUUGAAUUACUUAAAAAGAUUAUAUUGCACAGUAAUGUGACACCAGAAAAAGUUUUUAGUUUUAACCGGGGCCCACCAACCAGUCCGUCUGCACCAUGAUGAAGUUCGACCACUUGUCCUAGUGGCCAAGAACCUGGAAGAUGACCAUCAUCUAGUAACAGGACGAUGUCUCCAAUUUUCAUAUUCGGCCGAGUGUCCUUCCAUUUCUUUCUGGUUUAAAUUGAAUCAUUUGCAGUUCGUAUGAAAGUAGACCUUGUUCAUGUUCUUGCACAAGCUUGUCUGCCUCAUGUUCCACUAAUAAAUAAAAAUAUAUCCUAUGACAUAUUAUUAGAAUAUGCAAGCUAUAGUACUGA
rnacentral:misc_RNA from 1 species